rnacentral:rRNA from 1 species
AGAGUUUGAUCAUGGCUCAGAUUGAACGCUGGCGGCGUGCCUAACACAUGCAAGUCGAGCGGUAACAGGUGUAGCAAUACAUGCUGACGAGCGGCGAACGGGUGAGUAAUGCUUUGGAAUCUUCCCAGUAGUGGGGAAUAACCAGUCGAAAGACUGGCUAAUACCGCAUACGUCUGUAAAGGGAAAGCGGGGGCUCGUAAGACCUCGCGCUAUUGGAUGAGCCAAAGUCGGAUUAGCUUGUUGGUGGGGUAAUGGCCUACCAAGGCGACAAUCCGUAGCUGGUCUGAGAGGACGACCAGCCACACCGGAACUGAGACACGGUCCGGACUCCUACGGGAGGCAGCAGUGGGGAAUAUUGGACAAUGGGGGAAACCCUGAUCCAGCGACGCCGCGUGUGUGAAGAAGGCCUGCGGGUUGUAAAGCACUUUUAGUGGGGACAAAAAGCUACGGACUAAUACUCUGUGGUCUUGAUUUAACCCAAAGAAAAAGCACCGGCUAACUCUGUGCCAGCAGCCGCGGUAAUACAGAGGGUGCGAGCGUUAAUCGGAAUUACUGGGCGUAAAGCGCGCGUAGACGGUUUUGUAAGUCAGAUGUGAAAUCCCUGGGCUCAACCUGGGAACUGCAUUUGAGACUGCAUGGCUAGAGUAUGGAAGAGGGAAGUGGAAUUUCCGGUGUAGCGGUGAAAUGCGUAGAUAUCGGAAGGAACACCAGUGGCGAAAGCGACUUCCUGGUCCAAUACUGACGUUCAUGUGCGAAAGCGUGGGGAGCAAACAGGAUUAGAUACCCUAGUAGUCC